UACGGAAGGCCAGCAGUGGGGAAUAUUGCACAAUGGGCGCAAGCCUGAUGCAGCCAUGCCGCGUGUAUGAAGAAGGCCUUCGGGUUGUAAAGUACUUUCAGUCGUGAGGAAGGUGUUAAGGUUAAUAACCUUAGCAAUUGACGUUAGCGACAGAAGAAGCACCGGCUAACUCCGUGCCAGCAGCCGCGGUAAUACGGAGGGUGCGAGCGUUAAUCGGAAUUACUGGGCGUAAAGGGCACGCAGGCGGUUAAUUAAGUUGGAUGUGAAAUCCCCGGGCUUAACCUGGGAAUGGCAUUCAAGACUGGUUAGCUAGAGUCUUGUAGAGGGGGUAGAAUUCCAUGUGUAGCGGUGAAAUGCGUAGAGAUGUGGAGGAAUACCGGUGGCGAAGGCGGCCCCUGGGACAAAGACUGACGCUCAUGUGCGAAAGCGUGGGGAGCAAACAGGAUUAGAUACC
rnacentral:rRNA from 1 species